ensembl:lncRNA novel transcript
UGGCUUCUUGUGAUUGGCCAGAACUUUUCCUCACUGGAGAGAUGAGGAGAAUCCAGUCCUCCAACCAGCUGAGAGAAAACACUGCAGUAGCAGAGAUAGCAAUGGCUGUUCCACCCCACACUGAUACGAUGUCAGGGAGCCAGGGGUGGGCUCAACAGGCUGAAUGAUGCCAGGGACUCCCAAGGGUCUAUACAUUUAACCCUGGAGGAAGUGGCCUCUGACCAGGCAGUGUUUCAAGAACCCAGCUCCAUUCAUCCUAUGAUGCCACCAUCCUCAGCAUUUGACUUCCAUGGCUCCUGUAAGAGAAGAGAACAUGAAGAACAAAACAGGAGGUUUUUAUGGGAGGCAU